rnacentral:rRNA from 1 species
UUAAGCGACUAAGCGUACACGGUGGAUGCCCUGGCAGUCAGAGGCGAUGAAGGACGUGCUAAUCUGCGAUAAGCGUCGGUAAGGUGAUAUGAACCGUUAUAACCGGCGAUUUCCGAAUGGGGAAACCCAGUGUGUUUCGACACACUAUCAUUAACUGAAUCCAUAGGUUAAUGAGGCGAACCGGGGGAACUGAAACAUCUAAGUACCCCGAGGAAAAGAAAUCAACCGAGAUUCCCCCAGUAGCGGCGAGCGAACGGGGAGGAGCCCAGAGCCUGAAUCAGUGUGUGUGUUAGUGGAAGCGUCUGGAAAGGCGCGCGAUACAGGGUGACAGCCCCGUACACAAAAAUGCACAUACUGUGAGCUCGAUGAGUAGGGCGGGACACGUGGUAUCCUGUCUGAAUAUGGGGGGACCAUCCUCCAAGGCUAAAUACUCCUGACUGACCGAUAGUGAACCAGUACCGUGAGGGAAAGGCGAAAAGAACCCCGGCGAGGGGAGUGAAAAAGAACCUGAAACCGUGUACGUACAAGCAGUGGGAGCCUCUUUUAUGGGGUGACUGCGUACCUUUUGUAUAAUGGGUCAGCGACUUAUAUUCUGUAGCAAGGUUAACCGAAUAGGGGAGCCGAAGGGAAACCGAGUCUUAACUGGGCGUUAAGUUGCAGGGUAUAGACCCGAAACCCGGUGAUCUAGCCAUGGGCAGGUUGAAGGUUGGGUAACACUAACUGGAGGACCGAACCGACUAAUGUUGAAAAAUUAGCGGAUGACUUGUGGCUGGGGGUGAAAGGCCAAUCAAACCGGGAGAUAGCUGGUUCUCCCCGAAAGCUAUUUAGGUAGCGCCUCGUGAAUUCAUCUCCGGGGGUAGAGCACUGUUUCGGCAAGGGGGUCAUCCCGACUUACCAACCCGAUGCAAACUGCGAAUACCGGAGAAUGUUAUCACGGGAGACACACGGCGGGUGCUAACGUCCGUCGUGAAGAGGGAAACAACCCAGACCGCCAGCUAAGGUCCCAAAGUCAUGGUUAAGUGGGAAACGAUGUGGGAAGGCCCAGACAGCCAGGAUGUUGGCUUAGAAGCAGCCAUCAUUUAAAGAAAGCGUAAUAGCUCACUGGUCGAGUCGGCCUGCGCGGAAGAUGUAACGGGGCUAAACCAUGCACCGAAGCUGCGGCAGCGACACUAUGUGUUGUUGGGUAGGGGAGCGUUCUGUAAGCCUGUGAAGGUGUACUGUGAGGUAUGCUGGAGGUAUCAGAAGUGCGAAUGCUGACAUAAGUAACGAUAAAGCGGGUGAAAAGCCCGCUCGCCGGAAGACCAAGGGUUCCUGUCCAACGUUAAUCGGGGCAGGGUGAGUCGACCCCUAAGGCGAGGCCGAAAGGCGUAGUCGAUGGGAAACAGGUUAAUAUUCCUGUACUUGGUGUUACUGCGAAGGGGGGACGGAGAAGGCUAUGUUGGCCGGGCGACGGUUGUCCCGGUUUAAGCGUGUAGGCUGGUUUUCCAGGCAAAUCCGGAAAAUCAAGGCUGAGGCGUGAUGACGAGGCACUACGGUGCUGAAGCAACAAAUGCCCUGCUUCCAGGAAAAGCCUCUAAGCAUCAGGUAACAUCAAAUCGUACCCCAAACCGACACAGGUGGUCAGGUAGAGAAUACCAAGGCGCUUGAGAGAACUCGGGUGAAGGAACUAGGCAAAAUGGUGCCGUAACUUCGGGAGAAGGCACGCUGAUAUGUAGGUGAAGCGACUUGCUCGUGGAGCUGAAAUCAGUCGAAGAUACCAGCUGGCUGCAACUGUUUAUUAAAAACACAGCACUGUGCAAACACGAAAGUGGACGUAUACGGUGUGACGCCUGCCCGGUGCCGGAAGGUUAAUUGAUGGGGUCAGCGCAAGCGAAGCUCUUGAUCGAAGCCCCGGUAAACGGCGGCCGUAACUAUAACGGUCCUAAGGUAGCGAAAUUCCUUGUCGGGUAAGUUCCGACCUGCACGAAUGGCGUAAUGAUGGCCAGGCUGUCUCCACCCGAGACUCAGUGAAAUUGAACUCGCUGUGAAGAUGCAGUGUACCCGCGGCAAGACGGAAAGACCCCGUGAACCUUUACUAUAGCUUGACACUGAACAUUGAGCCUUGAUGUGUAGGAUAGGUGGGAGGCUUUGAAGUGUGGACGCCAGUCUGCAUGGAGCCGACCUUGAAAUACCACCCUUUAAUGUUUGAUGUUCUAACGUUGACCCGUGAUCCGGGUUGCGGACAGUGUCUGGUGGGUAGUUUGACUGGGGCGGUCUCCUCCUAAAGAGUAACGGAGGAGCACGAAGGUUGGCUAAUCCUGGUCGGACAUCAGGAGGUUAGUGCAAUGGCAUAAGCCAGCUUGACUGCGAGCGUGACGGCGCGAGCAGGUGCGAAAGCAGGUCAUAGUGAUCCGGUGGUUCUGAAUGGAAGGGCCAUCGCUCAACGGAUAAAAGGUACUCCGGGGAUAACAGGCUGAUACCGCCCAAGAGUUCAUAUCGACGGCGGUGUUUGGCACCUCGAUGUCGGCUCAUCACAUCCUGGGGCUGAAGUAGGUCCCAAGGGUAUGGCUGUUCGCCAUUUAAAGUGGUACGCGAGCUGGGUUUAGAACGUCGUGAGACAGUUCGGUCCCUAUCUGCCGUGGGCGCUGGAGAACUGAGGGGGGCUGCUCCUAGUACGAGAGGACCGGAGUGGACGCAUCACUGGUGUUCGGGUUGUCAUGCCAAUGGCACUGCCCGGUAGCUAAAUGCGGAAGAGAUAAGUGCUGAAAGCAUCUAAGCACGAAACUUGCCCCGAGAUGAGUUCUCCCUGACUCCUUGAGAGUCCUGAAGGAACGUUGAAGACGACGACGUUGAUAGGCCGGGUGUGUAAGCGCAGCGAUGCGUUGAGCUAACCGGUACUAAUGAACCGUGAGGCUUAACCUU